GACGAACGCUGGCGGCGUGCUUAACACAUGCAAGUCGAACGGAAAGGCCCUGCUUUUGUGGGGUGCUCGAGUGGCGAACGGGUGAGUAACACGUGAGUAACCUGCCCUUGACUUUGGGAUAACUUCAGGAAACUGGGGCUAAUACCGGAUAGGAGCUCCUGCUGCAUGGUGGGGGUUGGAAAGUUUCGGCGGUUGGGGAUGGACUCGCGGCUUAUCAGCUUGUUGGUGGGGUAGUGGCUUACCAAGGCUUUGACGGGUAGCCGGCCUGAGAGGGUGACCGGCCACAUUGGGACUGGGAUACGGCCCAGACUCCUACGGGAGGCAGCAGUGGGGAAGAUUGCACUAUGGGCGGAAGCCUGAUGCAGCAACGCCGCGUGCGGGAUGACGGCCUUCGGGUUGUAAACCGCUUUCGCCUGUGACGAAGCGUGAGUGACGGUAAUGGGUAAAGAAGCACCGGCUAACUACGUG
rnacentral:rRNA from 1 species